rnacentral:lncRNA from 1 species
GAAGUCAAAAUUUGUCAUCCAAUCAGUUACAUAGCUCCUCGAUGUCUUUUUAACUCACUGCGACGUGUUGUGUGAGAAACAGGUCGUGCCACAAUCAGUUUUCAUCGCUCUAUGAUAUGAGUCAAAUCUUUCCACAAUCCCACGCAAAAAUUCCAGUGGGAAUUAUCCUUUUUUUUACAAUUAUUCACUUUUUCACCUUC